UACGUAGGGGGCGAGCGUUAAUCGGAAUUACUGGGCGUAAAGCGUGCGCAGGCGGCGCGUUAAGACAGGUGUGAAAGCCCCGAGCUUAACUUGGGAAUUGCGCUUGUGACUGGCGUGCUGGAGUGUGGCAGAGGGGGGUAGAAUUCCACGUGUAGCAGUGAAAUGCGUAGAGAUGUGGAGGAAUACCGAUGGCGAAGGCAGCCCCCUGGGCCAAUACUGACGCUCAUGCACGAAAGCGUGGGGAGCAAACAGG
rnacentral:rRNA from 1 species